rnacentral:tRNA from 2 species
UUCUCUUUAGUUCAAAAAGAAUACCAUCUUGUCAAGGUGGAAGUGCUGGAUCAGCAUGAGAAU